CGGGGUGUAGCGCAGCUUGGCAGCGCGCUUCGUUCGGGACGAAGAGGUCGCUGGUUCAAAUCCAGUCACCCCGACCA
rnacentral:tRNA from 1 species